rnacentral:rRNA from 1 species
CAAUAAGCGGAGGAAAAGAAACCAACAGGGAUUGCCCCAGUAACGGCGAGUGAAGCGGCAACAGCUCAAAUUUGAAAUCUGGCCCCCCGGGGCCCGAGUUGUAAUUUGCAGAGGAUGCUUUUGGCGAGGCGCCUUCCGAGUUCCCUGGAACGGGACGCCAUAGAGGGUGAGAGCCCCGUCUGGUCGGACGCCGAGCCUCUGUAAAGCUCCUUCGACGAGUCGAGUAGUUUGGGAAUGCUGCUCUAAAUGGGAGGUAUAUGUCUUCUAAAGCUAAAUACCGGCCAGAGACCGAUAGCGCACAAGUAGAGUGAUCGAAAGAUGAAAAGCACUUUGAAAAGAGGGUUAAAUAGUACGUGAAAUUGUUGAAAGGGAAGCGCUUGUGACCAGACUUGGGCCCGGCGGAUCACCCAGCGUUCUCGCUGGUGCACUCCGGCGGGCCCAGGCCAGCAUCAGCUCGUCCCGGGGGACAAAGGCGGCGGGAACGUGGCUCCUCCGGGAGUGUUAUAGCCCACCGCGCAAUGCCCUGGGGCGGGCUGAGGACCGCGCAUCUGCAUGGAUGCUGGCGUAAUGGUCAUCAGCGACCCGUCUUGAA